rnacentral:rRNA from 1 species
AACGAACGCUGGCGGCAGGCCUAACACAUGCAAGUCGAGCGAGGACUUCGGUUCUAGCGGCGGACGGGUGAGUAACGCGUGGGAAUGCGCCCUUCUCUACGGAAUAGUCCUGUGAAACUGGGAGUAAUACCGUAUACGCCCUUCUGGGGAAAGAUUGAUCGGAGAAGGAUCAGCCCGCGUUGGUUUAGGUAGUUGGUAGUGUAAUGGCCUACCAGGCCGAGGCUCCAUAGCUGGUUUGAGAGGAUGAUAAGCCACGCUGGGGAUGAGACACGGACGAGAAUCCUAGGCAAGGGAGGAGAGGGGGAUAUAAGACAAUGGGGGCAGUGCUGAAGGCGCCAUGCCGGGUAAGUGAUGAAGGCGGUAGGGAAGUGAAGCUGUUUUAGAUGGGGCGAUAAUGACGGUACCAGAAGAAGAAGCACCGGCUAACUACGUG